CCAGUAGCUAAUCGGAGCAUUACAGCCUGUGUUUGGGCCCUCUCCAAAGAGACUUCAGAGUUCGUCCUUUGGAUCCCAAAUGAAUCACAGAAUGGUUGAGAUUGGAAGGCACCUCUGGAAGUCACCUGGUCCAACACCCCUGCUCAAGCCUGCACCAGCAGCCCAGGACUGUGUCCAGGCAGAUUGUGACUGUCUCCAAGGAUGGAGACUCCACAACCUCCCUGGGUAACCUGUGCCAGUCCUUAGUCACCCUCACACUAAAAAAGUGUUUCCUGAUGUUCAGAGGGAACCUCCUGUGUUUCAGUUUGUGCCCGUUGCCUCUGGUCCUGUUGCUGGGUGCCACUGAGAAGAUCCUGGCUCCAUCUUUUUCACACCCUCCCUUCAGGUAUUUACACACAUUGACAAGGUCCCCCCGAGCCUUCUCCAGGCUAAACAGUCCCAGCCCUCUCAGCCUUUCCUCAUAGAAGAGGUGCUUCAGUCUCUUCAUCAUCUUUGUGACGCCUCCCUGGACUCUCUCCAGUAUGUCCCUGUCUCUCUUGUACUGGGGAACCUAGAACUGGACACAAUACUCCAGGUGUGGCCUCACCAGUGCUGAGUAGAGGGGAAGGAUCACCUCCCUCAACCUGCUGGCAACACUCGUCCUAAGGCAGCCCAGGAUACUGUUAGCGUCCUUUGCUGCAAGGGCACAUUGCUGGUUCAUGUUCAACUUAGUGUCCAACAGGACCCCAGGUCCUUUUUGCCAAGCUGCUUUCCAGCUGGGUGGUCCCCAGCAUUUACUGGUGCCUGGGGUUAUUCCUUCCCUUUGCACUUCUCCUCAUUGAACUUCACAAGGUUGUUCCUGCCAGCCCAUUUCUCCAGCCUGUCAAGGUCCCUCUGGAUGGCAGCAUGACCUUCUGGUGUAUCAGCCACUCCUCCUAGUUUUGUGUCAUCAGCAAAUCUUGCUGAGGGUACACUCUGCCUCAUCAUCCAGAUCAUUAAUGAAGAUGCUGAACAGGAUCAGACCCAGUAUUGACCCCUGGGGUACACCACUAGUUACUGGCCUCUAGCUAGACUUUAUGCCACUGAUCACCACCCGCUGGGCCCAGCUGUUCAGCCAGUUUUCAGCCCACCUCACUGUUUCCUCACCUAGCCCAUACUUCCAUUGGCUUCUCUAUGAGGAUCUUACUGGAGACAGUGUCAAAGGCCUUACUGAAGCCAGGGUAGACAAUGUCCACUGCUCUCCCUUCAUCUGCCAAGCCAGUCAUUUCAUCAUAGAAGUUUAUCAAGUUGGUCAAGUGACUGGCACUUCAGGAAGACAACAAAUGGGCCCAAAGAUAUUAAUCGACUCUGACUCCAGCAAACUCGCCAGGCAGCCCAGGAGACGUGCGUGGCUAUGCACAUCCAGGAACUGCUGCUGUGGCGUUGGACUCUGCCUGCCUGGGAAUUGUGUGUGGAUAAUGUAUGGGAAGUGCUCCUGGCAGACAAGCUAUUUCAGCGCUCCGUAUGAUCCCUGGGAGAUACUGAACAGCUGAACCUGCUAAGAGCAACUGAAAGCCGUUAAGAACUCCACCAACUUAGGGGGUUAUACUGGUCUUUGUAGCUUCACUAUACCACCGCAGCAAAGCACUGUCAGCUCUGUAAGCCUUCAGCACGGACACAAGGGAAACAUCAUGCCAGAAACGUUCCCAGAUCACAGGGCAGCUGCCUGCAACCUUCCAGGUUGUUCUGUCCCGUGAUUUAGCCUGCUAGAUGUGCAGCUCCAGCAAAUAGCAGUUUCUAUUCCGUAAAUAGGAUAUUGCUGAGCACUGAGAUGCUCUCUUCACUUGUUAGGGUUGAGAGAAACCUGUCCUUUAAAUGGACACUGUUGUCCACCAGGUUGCCCGAAGCCCUGUGCCAGCCUUUCUGCUCACUGGCCCUUGCUGAACCUCUAGUCUGGCUCCCACAGAAGCUGCGCAGAAAAUGGUACCUGGUUAAAAUUAGGGGGCAAGAAUUGUUUUCCUACUUGACCUGUUUCAAGUAACCUGAAAUGACUCAGAUACGGUUUUCUGUUUCCUCCAGGUGCACUCCGCUGUUGGACUACA